UACGUAGGGGGCUAGCGUUGUCCGGAAUCAUUGGGCGUAAAGCGCGCGUAGGCGGCCCGGUAAGUCCGCUGUAAAAGUCAAAGGCUCAACCUUUGAAUGUCAGUGGAUACUGCCGGGCUAGAGUCCGGAAGAGGCGAGUGGAACUCCUGGUGUAGCGGUGGAAUGCGCAGAUAUCAGGAAGAAUACCAACGGCGAAGGCAGCUCGCUGGGACGGAACUGACGCUAAGGCGCGAAAGCGUGGGGAGCGAACAGG
rnacentral:rRNA from 1 species